GCUUACGGCCAUACUAUCCUCAAUACGCCCGAUCUCUUCUGAUCUCAAAAGCUAUGCAGCGUCAGGCCUGGUCAGUACUUGGUUGGGGGACCGCUAGGGAAUAUCAGGUGCUGUAAGCU
rnacentral:rRNA from 2 species